rnacentral:rRNA from 1 species
AAAUUGAAUGAGUACAAUUUAAAUCCUUUAACGAGGAUCAACUGGAGGGCAAGUCUGGUGCCAGCAGCCGCGGUAACUCCAGCUCCAGAAGCGUAUAUUAAAGUUGUUGCAGUUAAAAAGCUCGUAGUUGGAUCUGGGUCGCAUGGCUACAUGCCGUCGCUCGUGGGUCUGGCCUGGUUACUGCCGGGUUGAGCUUGCGAGUCGGUCUCGUGGUUGUGCUUCCUUUCUGCUGUGUCUGUUUACAGGUGUCAGCGUGACUGGUGGGCUUGCCUGCUAGUCUGUUGGCAUGCUUCUUGGUGCCUUUAAUCGGGUGUCGGAGGCGGACAGCACGUUUACUUUGAACAAAUUUGAGUGCUCAAAGCAGGCCUUUGUGCCUGAAAAUUCUUGCAUGGAAUAAUGGAAUAGGACUUCGGUUCUAUUUUGUUGGUUUUCGGAUCCGAAGUAAUGGUUAAGAGGGACAGACGGGGGCAUUUGUAUGGCGGUGUUAGAGGUGAAAUUCUUGGAUCGCCGCCAGACAAA